rnacentral:rRNA from 1 species
UACGUAGGGGGCGAGCGUUGUCCGGAAUCAUUGGGCGUAAAGCACGUGUAGGCGGCUCGAUAAGUCCGGUGUGAAACCUUGGGGCUCAACCCCAAGCCUGCACUGGAUACUGUCGAGCUCGAGUCCGGGAGGGGAGAGCGGAAUUCCUAGUGUAGCGGUGAAAUGCGCAGAAUAUUAGGAAGAACACCGGUGGCGAAGGCAGGCUCUCUGGAACGGUACUGACGCGAGACGCGAAGGCGUGGGGAGCGAAACAGG